rnacentral:rRNA from 1 species
CGAGCACGCGCGUGUGGCAUAUCAAUAAGCGGAGGAAAAGAAACUAACAAGGAUUCCCUUAGUAACGGCGAGUGAAGCGGGAAGAGCUCAAAUUUGAAAUCUUCAAGGUUCCACCUUGACGAAUUGUAGUUUAUAGAAGUGUUUUCUGCUAGUGGAGUGGCAAAAGUUCUUUGGAAUAGGACAUCAUAGAGGGUGAGAAUCCCGUAUUUGGUCAUUCCUCCUAGCGUUGUGAUACACUUUCAACGAGUCGGAUUGUUUGGGAAUGCAGUCCAAAAUGGGUGGUAAAUUUCAUCUAAAGCUAAAUAUUGGCGAGAGACCGAUAGCGAACAAGUACCGUGAGGGAAAGAUGGAAAGAACUUUGAAAAGAGAGUUAAACAGUACGUGAAAUUGUCAGAAGGGAAGCGUUUGACACCAGUGUUGUUUUUCCGAAAAUCAAUUACGAAUGUUUUAUUUUUGAGGAAGUUAUGACUUCAUCGGCUUGCUUCCUUUCUUUAUGAAACUUUCUUAAUGCACUUUUCGGUUAACAAGUCAACAUCAAUUUCUUUUGUUGUAAAAGGGUAUGAGGAAGGUGGCUUUCUUUUCGGAGAAAGUGUUUAUAGCCUUGUGCCUCUGCAAUCGGAGAGAUUGAGGUCUGCAGCGUAGAUCCUUCGGGGUUAGAUACGUUUGUGCUAAGUUAUAGCUUUUCAUAGACAACUUGUUGACUAUGUUUAGUCUUGUAGCUUACUCGCUGACGCUAUUUUACCUACGCUUAGGAUGUUGAGCGCAUGUCUCUCUCU